AGUGAACGCUGGCGGUAGGCCUAACACAUGCAAGUCGAACGGCAGCACAGUAAGAGCUUGCUCUUACGGGUGGCGAGUGGCGGACGGGUGAGGAAUACAUCGGAAUCUACUUUUUCGUGGGGGAUAACGUAGGGAAACUUACGCUAAUACCGCAUACGACCUACGGGUGAAAGCAGGGGAUCUUCGGACCUUGCGCGAUUGAAUGAGCCGAUGUCGGAUUAGCUAGUUGGCGGGGUAAAGGCCCACCAAGGCGACGAUCCGUAGCUGGUCUGAGAGGAUGAUCAGCCACACUGGAACUGAGACACGGUCCAGACUCCUACGGGAGGCAGCAGUGGGGAAUAUUGGACAAUGGGCGCAAGCCUGAUCCAGCCAUACCGCGUGGGUGAAGAAGGCCUUCGGGUUGUAAAGCCCUUUUGUUGGGAAAGAAAAGCAGUAGGUUAAUACCCCGCUGUUCUGACGGUACCCAAAGAAUAAGCAUCGGCUAACUUCGUG
rnacentral:rRNA from 1 species